AAGGGCCUCAGACGCCAUCUGGGCCAAGCUUCCCUUUUAGAACUGAAAAAGUGAGGCCCAUCGAAGCGAAGCCGAUUGCCCAGUAUUGCACACCAUUAAAUCUUAAGGUUGCAUUUUUUUUCGUGUGUGUGGCUCCCACUUUGGGGUUCUUUGCUUCGCACCAUUCAGUCUCCCCUUCCUUUCUAUCUAACCUGCUGUCCUUAAGUGGACUCAGUCCAGUCAGCCCUAAGUACCAUCACCGCCAUAACACACAGUUCUGAUGGUGCUAAGCUCCAAGGAGCCAGUGUCUGCUGAAGUACCUAGCUCCUUGGCUUUUUUUUUUUUUUUUUUUUUCUACUUGGCUUUUAAUCAACGCAGGCAGGCCCUGAAUUACCAUUCCCAGUACAUGAGUUCAGCAAGUCACUGCCUCUCCAGGGAGACUGGUUUACCCGUGGACUUCCGCCAGCCUUGCCCAUCUGAGCCUUUGCUCAAGCAGCUACUUUACCACCAAGGGUGCCUUCUCUAUCUUUUCUCUUUAACCAGAUUUUCUACCUGGGCCCGACUUGGUUCCUCCACAAAACAGCCAGAGGCAGUGUGAGAUUAAGCUAGACCUGGGUUGAGAGCCCAGCUCUUCCACUUCGUAGCUGUGUGAACUUAAUCAAAUUGCUUAACCUCUCUGAGCUUCAGUUUCUGCAUCUGCAUCACAGUGAGUGCCACCUACUAGAAUUUGCUGCAGUGAUGGAAAUGUAACCAUUUGUGGCUGUUGACCACAUGAAACGCAACUAAUGUGGCUGAGGAGCUGAAUUUUUCAUUUUCACAGCCACGUGUGGCUGGUGGCUACCAUAUUGGAUGGUGCAACCCUAAGCUGCGUGGUCAACAAGGGCAGAAAUCACGUUGAUCUUGCUUGACAUUACAUCCCCGGCGAUGAGUACGGGAGAGGAAGAGGGGGAGAGGCGGAGAGAGAGGGAAAAAGAGGAUCCCAAGCAGGCUCCAAGCCCAGCACAGAGCCCAGUGAGGGGCUUGAUCCUUGGCGCCUGAGAUCAUGACCUGAGCUGAAAUCAAGAGCCUGAUGCUUAACCGACUGACUCACCCAGGUCCCUAAUCUAACUGGUUUUUAUCUCUUCUUCCAGGCUUCCAGAACAGUGACUCUCACGCUGUGCUGUCAUAUGGUGUACCCCACCCUAGAUGUCUGACUCCCCUCUCCUGUGGAGGUCGCCUGUCUCCACAACUGGGCUGGGAGCAUCUUGGGGCAAAGUCCAUGGCGUACUUGUUUGGAUGUCCCUCAUUCAUAUUUAGUAACUGCCUCUCACUUUGUCCCAGUUGUGUCAAGCUAUGAGUGAUUCUAGGCAGUAGUACUCCUUGGAAUAUCCCCUGUCUUCCCAAAAUUCAUAUGUUGAAGUCCUAACCCCUGGUUCCUCACAAUUUGACUGUAUUUAGAGAGAGGGUCUUGAAAGAGGUAAUGCAGUUAAAAUGAGAUCAUUCGAGUAGGCCCUAAUCCAAUAUGCAGACAUGUGAGACACGGGGAGAAGGCAGCCAUCAGGAAGCCGAGGGCAGAGGCCUUCAAAGAAACCAAUUCCACUGACACUUCAAUCUCAGACAUCUAUCCUCCAGGAUUGCAAGAAAAAUAAAUUUUGGUUGUUAAAGGCACACGGUCCGUGGUACUUUGGUAUGACAGCCCUAGGAAACUAAGAUACCCUCACGGAAGGUGAAUUAAAAUGAAGA